UACAGAGGUGGCAAGCGUUGUUCGGAAUUACUGGGCGUAAAGGGCGCGUAGGCGGCCCGUCAAGUCCCGUGUGAAAGCCCCCGGCUCAACCGGGGAACGGCGCGGGAAACUAGCAGGCUUGAGUUCGGGAGAGGGAAGCGGAAUUCCGGGUGUAGCGGUGAAAUGCGUAGAGAUCGUAAGGAAGACCAGUGGCGAAGGCGAGUUUCUGGACAGUUACUGACGCUGAGGCACGAAGGCUAGGGGAGCAAACGGG
rnacentral:rRNA from 1 species